GAUCAUGGCUCAGAUGAACGCUGGCGGCGUGCUUAACACAUGCAAGUCGCGCGUGAAAGGACUUCGGUCCGAGUAAAGCGGCGCACGGGUGAGUAACGCGUGGAUGAUCUACCCAUGAGUUAGGAAUAACGGCUGGAAACGGUCGCUAAUACCAAAUACGCUCCGAUUUCAACUUCGGGGGAAAGGUGGCCUCUGCUUGCAAGCUACUGCUCAUGGAUGAGUCCGCGUCCCAUUAGCUAGUUGGUGGGGUAACGGCCCACCAAGGCGACGAUGGGUAGCCGGUCUGAGAGGAUGACCGGCCACACUGGGACUGGAACACGGCCCAGACUCCUACGGGAGGCAGCAGUGGGGAAUAUUGCGCAAUGGGCGAAAGCCUGACGCAGCGACGCCGCGUGAGGGGAAUGAAGGUCCUCGGAUCGUAAACCUCUGUCAGGAGGGAAGAACCGCCACGGUGCUAAUCAGCCGUGGUCUGACGGUACCUCCAAAGGAAGCACCGGCUAACUCCGUGCCAGCCGCGGC
rnacentral:rRNA from 1 species